GAGGAUAUAGCUCAGUGGUAGAGUGUAUGCUUGGCAUGCAUGAAGUCUUGGGUUCAAUCCCCAGUACCUCU
rnacentral:tRNA from 1 species